CUGAUAAAUUACUGGACUGUGAGGAUUAGAUAUCCUAGAGAUUAAAAUUUAAAUUAGCUCUUUCAGGCAGAAAUUACUACAUACAAAACACAUUAUCUAGAAACCUAAAUUUUACAAACGGAAUAAUUGUUCAUUUAUUGAGUAUUACCAUGGCCAGUUUGCUCAGAGGGAAACAGCACAAAGGUGCAUUAGAAGUAGUUUUUCAAGAGUAAAUGUGAGAUAAGGCACUACUACCAUGUUCCCAGUCUUUCAAGGUCCACAGAAAACAGUGGGAAAUAGCUGAGGUUUGACUGAACAGCUCAUUUCAACUUGCAUAGCAAUGCAUCUCAAACAGGAGGAAUUAAGCAUUAAAGCAACUCUGACAUGAGAAGGGAUGCUGGUACAUACUAGAAAGCAAAACGAUUGAUGAGCCUCACAGAAACCAACCAAAUAGAUACCAAAAGCCAAACUGGUGAUGUGAAACACUUGGAAAAGAAAUAUGAGUGUACAUAUAUUUUUUGCCUAAAGGACAUGGUAAUGGGGGAGACCUAUGUUUUACAGUAAUAUUUGACCUAGAUUAUUCCUCAUAUCUUUCAAAGUGAAGAUUUUAUUAACUUUAGUGAGUUUGAGAUCAGCACAGCUCAGAGUCAAAUGCCAGACUGGAAGAAGAGAAAAGCACCCUCAAACUUCCAAAAGAUGUGUAUGAGUGAAGCUGGUAUUACUGUAAAAGCUUUAGGUGGAAGACCUGUGAUGGGAAAGAAACUGAAUAGUGCAAUACUUGUGUAUAUAGCUAGAUGGCUGCAAUGACACACUAAAAAAGUCCACAUUUGCUAAUUCAUUGCGGGUUUUCCUUUUAUUUCCUAUUUUGCUUCAUAUAAAACAAUCUUUUCUGUCUUCAUUUUCUUGACAUUUUUAUUAUGUACAAACUCCAUCUACUUUUGUCAUCUGCUUCUUUCUAAAUAAAGUUAACCAACUUCAAGAUUUGCAUCAAAUGAUUUUGGGCAAUGACAACUUUUAAGCUGAGACUGUAUUUCAUUUUUGAGUAAAAUGGUCAGUCUUUAAUUGCUCUCCGCAGCUGUUUCUUCAAAUACAGAAAUACAGAGAGACAUUAAAAAGAAUUUAAGGGAAGUACACGUAUUUAGAGAACUAUCUUUUUUUAAAAGUAAUGUUCUGGCAGGCAACCUGUUUUUAGAAUCAUUUUAUACCCUCACAGAAUAUGAUCUCUUAGGAGCUCUCGCAUUACCUUCAGGCAGUAAAUUGUCACAAAAGAAAACCUAACAGAAAGAUGAGAGAAGCGUUGGCAGGCGUGGGAGGGGGAACACGUCUUAGCAGCUCACACAGGCAUUUCAGAACGUUUGAGGGGGGGUGUGCUGUGAGUGUGUUAGUUUAAAAGAUUAAAGUUUGCAAUCUGCACUGAGAGGAGGGUUCUUGCUAAAGUCUGUAUACCAAAGCUGGCUGUGAAUUGAAGAACUGUUGUAAUUAGAUUACUGUAAAUACAAUAAGAAACUCACUCCUGGUGGUCUGGGGAGGGGUGUCAUAGGGCACUGGAGAAUUGUGUUGGCAGGAUUUGGGACAGUUUGACUGAAAGCAGAGAACACAGUCUCAAAAUCCUUUUAAUCUUCCCCCCACUCAGUUCUUUGGGGAUUUGUUUGUCAUUAAGUAACAGUCAAAAGAUUAAGGAAGUAUAAAAUGACAUUAAAGCUCACAAGUACUUCUAUAAAAUUAUCAGUGCUAGUGUAGUCUUCAGCAGGGAUUGCUUCUGCCAAGACUGUCUAGAGCCAGGCAAAACUAAAAGAGAAGAGGCAAGCAGGCACAAAAGCAAAGCCUGGACCGGAAUACCACUGCUCUGCUAGCGCUUCGAACACACGGCUUCCAAAGCAGUGGCUGUUGCUAUGUGUCUGGGCUCAACAAGCUUAAACUUUGCAUGGCCCAUGCUAAACUAAUUUGAGUCAAUUUGUCUACAUCAUUUCAACAAUCGUUCUGUGCAUUUUGAAUCGUACAUACAACACUGCAUGAUAAAGGCCCACCGAGCAGAUGCCGACUGCUCAUUCUGCCGUGGCCUAGCUGUUGCUAGUUCUUCACCAUGGUUUCUCCAUAUCCUAGUGACAAUGUUAGUUUUUCGAUGGUGAGGUUAAGUCUGUGCCUGGCUAGUUAAGACUUUUCUUUACAGAGGACAGCUCCUAUAACAACUGCCAGCUCUAAGCAUGACCUUUAAAAAUGAAAUGAGGGAGUGUUAACUGGAGUGGGUUUUUUUUUUUUCCCUAAUCUCCCAAGGGGGCUCAAAGGGAUACAAGGAGAUUUUGCAAGUAAAGUUUUAAGCCUGCACAAGAAAGAGACACCAAUAUCGGGAGCUCUUAUCACAAGAAAGCUGAUCUAACCUGCUUACAAUUAAAUAGUUUCAGCAUAAUGGGGUUUGACUCAUCUGUAAACAUGCACUUUGCAACACAGUUUUAUUUUUGAAACCGAAAUCACACAAGAAUAAAGAAUUAAAGCAGCUCCACUCUGUGCCUAGGCAAGUUGAGUAGGGCGAAGGUGCACAUGAAGACAGACCUGAGAUGGUCCUUCCUGCAGCGCUACAGCUAAUAAAGAUGUGGCAGAGGGCUGUGGUCACAAAAGCAUAUUAGGAGAAGGAAAGGUAGAUAUGGCUCCGCUCUUCAUUGCCAUCUUGCCAUGCAGAGAAAGAAAGUACUUUGGUUUCCUAUGGACCUGUUUGCCAGCUUUUAUGGCCACAAGGUACCAAA